CCACGCGCCAACCCGGAACCCAGAGCAGCAGAAGUUGGAGUCAGCUGGCGGAGAAGUGACCGGCAGGAAGAAAAUCAGCUAAUCUUCUGUGAGGAUCAAACUCUAAUCAGACUGAGCUCAGUGAAUCCCUGCAGACUUGUGAAAGGCUCUCUCUCUCUCCCUCUGCUACUCUCAGGCAGCACAACAAGUCAAGACAUGUUCCAACACAGCACCACAAGCCGGACCUGCUGCAUGAGCCUGCUCCUAGGCCAGAGGGGGAGGAGCAGAGGAUCAGAGAGGGGGGAAACCCAGAAAAGACCCAGCAUGACUCAGCCUGCUUCAGUCAGUUAAGAUGCACACAUUCAACACAGGAAGGACACGUUUAACAAUAGAUUAAAGUAGAUUAAGGAGAUGAAUGAAAAAGCAUUGAGAAAAAUUGAGAAAAGUGUUUUUUGGAAAGCAUUGACUCGGCAGAUCUUUGUUGAUGUGUCAUAUAUCUUUUAGAAAUCCACUUGUGCCGCACACACUGGCCUCUUUCACUUUGAAAGCCGUUCAUGGUGUCGUUUGUCUUUCUUGGCUAAUGCUGACCCCGGGUUGAUGCCGAGUAGAUUAAAGUCAAUUUAAUAUCUUAAAAUUCAUCCGCAGCAUUGGAUUUCAUUCAUACUCAUAUCAGCAAGUUGAUCUGCGUUAUCUUUAACGCCAGCAGAAUGAAUAGUUUAUAGACGCUGUAACCCUGCACCGGCACUCCAUAUUAAUGAAAGCUGCUGAUUCAUUAAGUCCUGUUGUACAGUACUCGCAGUAGGUCACGUCAGUUACAAAUGUGAAUCAAUUAUAUGACCAUAACCGUCGCAGGAAAUACAAAAGCAGAGAUACGUGCAAAAUGUGAAUAUUUUCCCGAAGCCGUUGAAUGUCAAAUCUGAAUUUAAAAGCAGCGGAGAAAGAAUCCUCUCUGAUGCGAAGGCUGUUUACUGUUGUCAGUGAGAUGCAUCCACUGUGAAAAACCUUCACCAAUCACAAGUGCUCAUUAUGCGGAGCUGCUCUGAUGCUAGUCUUGUUUUUUUUUUUUUUUACUAGAGGAGGAGUAAUGCUAGUUCAUCACUGCUGUAGCAGAAGUUGAUCACUAGGCAGAAUCUGGGUGCAGCAGCAAGAAACCAGCUCAGCAAAACUCACCUGCUAUACAAUAAGGUCUGAGUGUGGCUGCCUGAGCAUCUCUAAAGCAGCACACUGUAUUUCACUGGCACUGCUCCUCACUGCAGCUCUUUCAUUGACGACCUUAUCAAUGAAAGAGCAAAGUCACUAUGAUGUACCGCCAAGAAAUAACUCUUUUGGAGCUUUACUCUGAGCUUUGUCUUUUACCCUCUGACGGCCAACAUGGAAGCAGCACAGCUACUUUGUAGGAGAGCAGAUGAUGCGCACUUGCCUGCAGAUAGUGUCAUUUAUCAGGAGUGGUAAUGUGGAACUGCACAGCUGUAGUUCUGCAGACUGAGUUGGAUCUUAAUCUGUGGGAGCACAAGCUAUAUGUUUGCACAAGAUGAGGGAAAUCUGGACAAUGAUUAAGCUAGCUCGCUUGGAGGAAAUCAUUUUUUUGCCCUUCAAUAGCCAGAAAGGAAAUCAAAAAUCAAAUCAAAUAAAGAUUUAAUUAAGUUGUCUUUCUACCUGGGACCCAGAUUGCAGGUGAGACCUGUCUCCUUUGCAUCUGUGUCACUCUGGGGGGGAAUCAGGGGAGAGGGAACCCUGAGCCCAGCAAGUUCAAUGCUUGCUGCAUUGAUUACAUCAUCGGGACUGGAAUGGGACAAUGCACCAUCAGGAGUGUG